GACACGCAACACGUUUUUAGUCCUAUACUUCUUUCCCACUUCUUAGACGCGUCUGUGCCUCCUCUCCGCCGUUCGUGAAUCAAAACGUGACACGCCAUCGCGCCCGCAUUCCGAGACCGGAAAGGCCGCCGUCACCGCCGCCGCGGAGGCUCGUUCCCCACGUGACCACGUACGCGCCAUGACGUAAAGCAUGUGACAAACCCCACGUGACCUUGACGCACGUGAUCCUCUUCGCGCUCUCCACAGCUCUCUCCUCCUCUCCGUUUACGCACUUGCCGAGCGUUAUAAAAACGAGCGAACCUCCACAGCUCGGUCGAAUUACGCUUCUCUGCGUGCAAGUGUCUCAUCCUCCGAUCGAGAUCGCUCUUCUCUUGGGACUUUCGGACCCCGCCCCAUCAACAGCGAACAUGUCCAGCUCCGGAGACGUCUGCUGCGAAGGCAAGCCCGAGUGCUGCAACGAGACCAGCGAGGUGAAGAACGACGCCGAGGCCAAGGCUGAGGCAGCCGCCACCGAGGUGCCCGAGGCGGCGCCGGCUCCGGCCGGCGGCGAGAGCGCCGCACCGGCCGACGCUGUGCCGCAGGACGGCGCCAGCUCGUAGCCGCCGGGGAACAACCACCGGCGGCGCUGCCUGCCUCUGCCGCCACCGCUUCUUCGCAAUUCUCGUCGCUGCUGCCCGCCGACGACAACCGCCUCGUCGACGACCGAUCACCGAGACCGCCGGAGGUUCCGUCGUCUGGUCUUUUCUGGUCAUCUGAAGCUUUCCGCCUCGCCGUACCGGAAGUACUGGACCGGACUCUGGCAGGUCGACCGAGAUUCUUCACCAUCGCCCCCCUAAUCAAGGAAGAUGCGAGACGGAAGCCCGGGAGGCUGCGAUUCUGCCUGCGAAGGCGCCAUCCUCCUGCUUCCUUCACGUCUUCCAGUGAAUCGAGCCACGAACCGAAAUGAGCGAGUCCUCACACCAUGAUCAAUUCGCCCGCAUGGAACGUUUUUCCUUUGCAUGCCGAAAUCGACACUCUUGAGGACAGCGAGCGGUCAGCGACCAACUUGCAUAGGCCGCAGUCGACCAAGACCAUCCAUGGAUUCGCCUGGCCACUCGUCGUCGUGGUUUUACUCCAGUUGUCACCGGAAAGGUUGGCUCGGUAGGAGAAGAGGUGGACAACCACCAAACUAAAAGCAGCAGGCGGGAGCUGCGGAGCGGCGCAAACGCGAGUCAGAGUUGGAAGAUUCCUAAGAGAUAAAAAAAAAAGUGAAACGAAAACGCGCGGAGCGCCGACUUAUCCUAUAUGCUAUAUAUUUAUGUAAUGAAACCACUCAGCUCGUGUAUACACCCGCUGGCAACAAAAAACGACAAAAAAAUUAUAAAAAGAGAGAGAAAAGAGAAGAUAGAAGCGGUGCGCCCUCUUCUUUUUUGUACAUUUCUGAGAAUAAAAGAAUAAUAAACCACAAAA
rnacentral:lncRNA from 1 species